GGAGUUUGGGCCGUGUCUCAGUCCCAAUGUGGCCGGUCACCCUCUCAGGUCGGCUACUGAUCGUCGCCUUGGUGGGCCGUUACCUCACCAACCAGCUAAUCAGACGCGGGCCCAUCUCAUUCUGCCGGAGCUUUUCACACUGUUCCAUGCGGAACCGUGCGCUUAUGCGGUAUUAACAGUCGUUUCCAACUGGUAUCCCCCUGAAUGAGGCAGGUUGCCCACGCGUUACUCACCCGUCCGCCACUAAGUUAUGUUUCCAUCAUCCGAAGAAUCUUUCCACAUAACUCCGUUCGACUUGCAUGUGUUAGGCACGCCGCCAGCGUUCAUC
rnacentral:rRNA from 1 species